UACGCAGGCAGCAAGCGUUGUUCGGAGUUACUGGGCGUAAAGAGUGUGUAGGCGGUUUCGCACGGUCGGUGUGAAAUCUCCCGUCUUAACUGGGAGGGUGCGCCGAAAACUGCGGGGCUUGCGUGCCCGAGAGGAAAGCCGAAUUCCUGGUGUAGCGGUGAAAUGCGUAGAUAUCAGGAGGAACCCCUGCGGUGUAGACGGCUUUCUGGACGGCCACUGACGCUGAGACUCGAAAGCGUGGGGAGCAAUCAGG
rnacentral:rRNA from 1 species